GUCAGCAGCAAGUGUACUCCUCUCUUCUUCAUGGUGUUCGUUCUGUGUAUGAGACACUCAGAAGAUGGGAAAACACUGAAAAUGGUCCAGCAGAAGGUGAUUACACCAAUGUCACAUCUGUGAUUCAGCUCAAAGUCAUUAACAAGACAAGGCAACGUGGUGACCCAGAGGAGAGCUCUGACUACAAUGAUGUCAAUCCAAAUUCAGCAUCAGCUUUAACAUGAAGCUAAAAAGAAGCUUGUAAGUUCAAACAGGAAGAUCUGUAAUCACAUGUGUCUGCUUCACAUCACUUCCACUUUCUCAUGCUGUCAAGCUCAAUGUGACAUCACUGGUCUUGUCCAAUCAUCUUUCUGCGAGUCUGUUCAGCCCAAUCAGC
ensembl:lncRNA